AGUGAACGCUGGCGGUAGGCCUAACACAUGCAAGUCGAACGGCAGCACAGUAAGAGCUUGCUCUUACGGGUGGCGAGUGGCGGACGGGUGAGGAAUACAUCGGAAUCUACUUUUUCGUGGGGGAUAACGUAGGGAAACUUACUCUAAUACCGCAUACGACCUACGGGUGAAAGCAGGGGAUCUUCGGACCUUGCGCGGUUGAAUGAGCCGAUGUCGGGUUAGCUAGUUGGGGGGGUAAAGGCCCACCAAGGCGACGAUCCGUAGCUGGUCUGAGAGGAUGAUCAGCCACCCUGGAACUGAGCCACGCUCCAGACUCCUACGGGAGGCAGCAGUCGGGAAUAUUGGACAAUGGGCGCAAGCCUGAUCCAGCCAUACCGCGUGGGUGAAGAAGGCCUUCGGGUUGUAAAGCCCUUUUGUUGGGAAAGAAAAGCAGCAGGUUAAUACCCCGCUGUUCUGACGGUACCCAAAGAAUAAGCACCGGCUAACUUCGUG
rnacentral:rRNA from 1 species